ensembl:lncRNA
GGUCCAGCCGCCGCCGCAGCGCCUCCGCGGGCGGUCUGGUCACUCACAUUCAGCACAUCCCAGCUCCGCUCCAGAUUCUGUCCCCAGUCUUCCCCUUAUUAUCUCACUCAGUGAAUACUCUGUCCUCGAUUAGUUGUUCGGGCCGUGCCCCUUGGAAGCCGGCUUCCCUGAUGCCUUGACGCCCAGGCCACCAGGAAACUCUGGGAGUUCUACCUUUCAAUCCAAAUCUGACCACUGCUCCCCACUCCCACUAUUACCUGGUAUAACUGUCGUCAUUCUCUUGCCUGGAUUGUUGCCAGAGCCUCCUAACUUGCCUCUCGGCUUCUGUUCCCUGGCAGUCCGUUCACUCCCCAUACAGUAUCCUGGUAAGUUUUUAAGGUGUUAAGUCAGUCAUCAAACAAAUCAUGUGACUUCUCCACUCAGAACCCCCCAGUAAUUUACUGUGACUAGGAGAGCCCUCGGCGGGCCUGACGACAAGCCAGACACAGGGAAAGUCGUUCCAGUCUCAAACUUGAAAUGUACACCUUUCAGCAAAUUACAAAGCCACGGUCCUGAGGUAGGUCCCUGGGGGAGUCGGCUUUGCACUUGAGCUCCACCAGCUCACCACAUGCCUCUCCUGCUUCGAGAGCUGAACUGGUGCCCUGGGCCCUGUCUUCCGGGAGCUCCCAGUUCCUGGAGAGGCACUGGCCACCAAACCAGUCACUCUCUCCAGUGACAUUAGCCUAUAUUAGUAAUUAAAUUAAACAUAGAUAAAGGGUUUUUCUCCAAACUUUGAAUUUAGGAUUCCAUGAAGGUUUUUUUGAACAGUUGUAUCUUACCAUUCCAUAGUGCAGUCUGGAGACUUUCCUGGAGCCCCAGCACUAGCGCUUCAGGAGCUGUAGAGCUGACAUGACUAAAUAGAAGAACACUUUAAAAAGACAAUAAGGAAGUUCCCAUUUUGCACAGCAGAAAUGAUUCCAACUAGUAUCCAUGAGGAUGCGGGUUCUAUCCCUGGCCUCGCUCAGUGGGCUGGGAGCUGUUGUGUGGGUCACAGAUGCGACUUGGAUCCUCUGUUGCUGUGGCAGUGGUGUAGGCCAGCAACCGUAGCUCCAGUUUGACCCCUAGCCGGGAACUUCCAUAUGCUGUAGGUAUGGCCCUAGAAGAUCAAAAAUAAAAAAUAAAAAGACAGUGAGUACAGAGAAAGAGAGACAGAGCCACGUGAAAUGGCUUGAAUAGAGUUCAGCAAAGAUGAGGAAAAGGCUUUGCAGACUGGAUUUGGAGAAACGAAACCUCCCAGAGAAUCAACGGAAUUUGGUAACUGGGGGGUGCAAACUGUGAGAGAGGUCAGAGCUGGGGUGCACAGCCUGGACUAAGGUAGUCUGGACAGGAGAAGAGUCAGAAUUGCCGAGAAGGAGCUGCCCUCUGAGCCCCUGGGGCAGCCAGGCCAGGCCCAAGCAUCCCCUUGAGAACCCCGAGCCGCACAGCCCCAUCCCACCCUUGGGCUCUUACCUCCACCCCACCCGACCAUGGCGUUUCAGAGCCCCCGGUCGAGGCCCGGAGUGGGAGCCGAGUCGGCAAAGCGGGUUUCUUGCCCUGGCUCUGCUGCGGGCCCCCGCAGUGCUGAACCAGGCCUGGGGAGGCCACAGACUGAAUCUGUGCCUGUAACCCCACUGCUCCUAGCAGGUGCGGUCUCUGAAUCCAGACAGCCCAAGUUCAGAGCUGAGCUUUGGCCCCGUCUAGCUGUGUAACCCGGGCAAGCUCCCCAGCUCUCCCGUGCGUCCCUUCCUUUAUCUGAAAAAUGGGCUUAACGGUACCUACCUGUAGUCCUGGACGGGUGGCUGAGCAACCGCUUUUGGGGCAAGAGGCCUCAUCUCUCUUAGCUCCCAAGGCUGUAGCCCUCCGCAGAGCCCCAGGAGGAGACCCAGAGGUCAGAAGGUUUCUGCUCUAGGGCCACGCAAAGCUUUGGGGAGGAGAGAGCUCCCUGGCCAAGGGUGUACAGCAGUCAGGGGAAGCACGCAGACCAGGCUGGUGCCUUCCCCCGCCCCCCCGGCCCAGAAUGCAGCUUGGCAGCCCCGUGAGGAAGGGCCACGGGAAUGCUGGGCAGGUGCAGGGCUCAAGUUGCCUGCACUGCUCUGAGGCCAGAGUUGGGGAGGAGCCAGGAGCUCCAGGGGGGCCACGUUAACCCUUCCUUCUCAGGAACCUGGCCUCAGGAGCCCUCUCACUGGCAGGCCAUGGGUUCGCACAGUUGAGGGGUCUUAAUCGAGUCAGGCCUCUUUAUUGUGUAGGUGAGGAGACCGAGGCUAGGGCUGAGGGGUGACCCAUGCCCCCCACGGAAUGGGUCCCAAGUCAGGGACACCUUCUCAGAAGAAGGAAAGGGGGUGCUGAGGGAGGAGGGAGCUUGGCGGUGGUGACAGCCACGUGACGUGGUCAGAUUCAGGCUUUGCCCCUCCAGGCUAGGCCCCCAUCUGUGCCCUGUCCUCACCCCCCGCCCCAGCCCCUUUGUGUAUCUGCCGAGUUUGCUACCCUCUUGUGCGCAAGGAAGUCCAAAUGCCAGCCUGGGUGAGGGCGCAGGGAGCCGCUCCCGGGCAGGCGGGUGGCCAAGGGGGUGAAAGGCCGCCGGGCCUCCCGUCACUGGAGCAGCGGUCAGCUGGCAGCCCCACCUCGCCAGCCGGAGCCAGGCAGCUGUUCACGUUCAGUUUCAGCACCUCACCAAGCUUUGCUUCUCGCUCCCGACUCAGUGCUCAUGUCACAGAAGGGAGCUUCUCUGGAAAAACAAGACUUCAGUCCUGCUGCCAGGCCAGGGGCCCACUGGGCGGAGGCCUGGGUGCGGGGAGAGGGUGGCCUGGCCUGGCCCCUUGGGCUCGCCGCUGGCGUCGGCUCUGGCUUCAGCUUAGCCCUGUGCUUUAGAAGACGUGCUUGGCCACGGCCUGGGUCGCAUUUGAGUUGUGUUUCAGCUUCACGGUAGACCAAGGGCAGAGAGGCAAACAAGGCCUCAGCUCCACUUAUAAUGAAGAUACCGAGACCCAGAGGGAGACCCCGCCUGGCCGUGAGCGAGUGGGGCAGGAGGACAGGGCCCCAGACUGGUGUUCUGUCCCCUCCUCGCCUCUCAGACGGUCCCAGGGACACCCUGAGGCAGGGAUGAGCCUGCACCUGCCAGGCUUCUGAGAGCUUGUGGUCUGUUCGGGGGGCACCAUCCAGGUACUGGAUGGAGGGAACCAGGACACAGGGGCUUGGAUCAGAUCACAGAUCCGCUCUCGGUACCUGCAGUCAGCCGGGCCCAUCUCCACUACUUUCCCAGCAGGGAAACUCCUUCCUCACUCCUUUGCUCGGCCGUGACUCCACCUGGAACACCCCCGAGUCGUCUUUGUUCACAUUCCGCCUUUAUGUUGUUUCCAGUCCAUCUUCCGUGUAUGACACCUGCUCCCCGGACCCAGGGCCCCUGCAGCCCCUCAGGCCAAUGAGCAUGCUGCCAUGUGGGCGCCUCCUGCCCCCCCACCCAGAAGGCUGAGGCUCCUCACACCACAGGCCAUGGGGAGUCUGCUCGUGCCCCCAGAGCGCCAGCAGGAACGUGGGGAUACUUUCCGAGGACUGGUUAGUGCACGUUGGGCGUCCCUGCUCGGGGCAGCCUCACCUCUACCGGCCCCUCCAAGCUUGUGUCUUAGGGAAGCAACACUGAUGAGAAAAGAAACCUUACUAUUGCUGUUUUUUUCAGACCCUACUGAGGUCAGCAAAAGCCGCAUGCUGCCCAGUGUGUGUUCUGUCCUGCCACACCUCCUGUCGUGGCAGUCGCUGGGCCUGGCCCAUGCAGAUAAGGGCCCCUGGGUUAUUGGCCGGGUGUGGUGCCGGUUCCCAGCCAGCAGGUGCAGAACUGCACUCAGGCUGUUCCCUCCAGUGUAGUGACCUCCCCCCACCACCACCCCUGCUGCAACCCAGCCCAUCUCGGGCCCCACCUUCUGCGAAGCCUUCCCGGUCCUUCCCAGCUGUCUUGCUCUUUCGGCUCCCAAGCUCCGAGUUUCAUCUCUGAUGGCUUGGUAGAUUUGGUGUCCGUCUUCUUUCUAGCUUGAGCAACCACUGGUUCUGGAAUGAAUGAGAGAGAUAUUUGCUGGAAGAGCUAUCUCCUCCCCAACUAAUUUCAGCCUCUGGUCCCAGUGGCUUGGACCCACCCACUCACGAGUCUAGCAGCUCCCAAGCUCCUGUCUUGGACCCAUCCCAGUGGGUCCAAGCAACAGACUGAGUCCCUGACCUGCAAGGCGCCCACUCUGGAGGCAGAAGGGAUCAGGCAGUGGCUGGGUGACUGGCCUCCCCGGCUGAGGCAUCAUGGGGUACAGGUGUCUCCCCCAUAUUUCAGAAAGAAGGACUGUAAACACCAGCAUUUUUUUCCCCCUCUUAACCUCAGCCUGCCUGGAAGAUGGGCUGUGUGUUCUCACCUCUGCUGGGUAUGCCCCAGCGGUGCUAUGCUCUUGGCUCUCAGGCCACCCUGCCCGUGGGCCAUCUGGCGGUAGGUACUCCCUUGGCGUUUAGAAUUCUGGAUUUGGCGUUUCUGUCGUGGCGCAGCAGAAAUGAAUCUGACUGGGAACCAUGAGGUUGCCGGUUCAAUCCCUGGCCUCGCUUAGUGUGUUAAGGAUCCAGUGUUGCUGUGACCCCUAGCCUGGGAACCUCUGUGUGCCAUGGGUGCUGCCCUAAAAAGCAAAUUUUUAAAAAUGUUAAAAAUUAAAAAAAAAAAAAA